UGCUUUACGGCAGUUUCUAAAGCACUUCCCUUGUCCCGCAACGAUAACACCAGCUGUUGGAGUCGGACCUUGAUGCUGUGACAACGGACAAGUCUUCUUCCUCUGUCCUUUUCCCCUGCCUCUGUUCAGUAUGUUCAGUGUUGUUAAAUCAUUUCUCUUUUUUUUUUAUUAGUUACUGUUCUUAUUGUGUUCUUGUUAGUGUGAUGUUUGAAUAAACUUGCCUGUUGCAAUGUUGGUAUAAUGUUUGUAUAAUUACUGUUAUACAACUGUUACUGUUUCAAUGUGACCCAGACCAUAUUUCUCAUUUAACAAACAUGUGUAGCUUAUAAUGUGUUGCAUGGCAGAGCAAUUACGGUAUAUUCAAAGGCUU
ensembl:lncRNA